GAAAAGAGAAUGCAAGCAGACAAAGAUCCAGAUGUACAAGACAGUCACUGUUGCAACUCCAAAACACGUUCCUUUCUCACAUUCAUUCCUUCUCUGUCUCUUCAGUUUCCCUCUUCAAACACAAAAACGGUCACAUUUCCAACAUCCCAAUAACUCCACCAUCUUCCAUCUUAUUCUUCUUCUUCUUCUCUUCACACUCUUAAAUUCCACACAUUAACCCAAAUCCAAACCCAACCCAUUUCACUUCCCUCAUCUCCUUCACUUUCCAGCCACUCUCCCACAAUGUCCACCUCAAAAAGCCUUGUUCUUGCGCUCUUCCUCCUUCUGGGUCUCUCGCCGCUCAUCGCCGCCGCCAACGGCGGCGCUCCGCCGCAGGAGCUCUGGUGUGUGGCGAAGAACAACGCGGAGGACGCGUCGCUGCAGGCCGCGCUCGACUGGGCCUGCGGUGCCGGUGGCGCGGACUGCGGCCCAAUCCAGAGUGGUGGGCCCUGCUACGACCCCAGCAGCGUGCAGAAUACGGCGUCGUUUGCAUUCAACGACUAUUUUCUCAAACACGGCAUGACCGACGAUAGCUGCAACUUCAACAACAACGCUGCCGUCACUUCCCUGAACCCUAGUUUUGGCAACUGCAAGUUCCACUCCGGCAUGGUAGGGAGCAAUGGGAGUUUUUCUGGGUCGGCACCUUCAUCUUCUGUUGGAUUGGGACCGAGUGAAGAUUUGAGUGGGUGCAGGAAAGUUUCUUGGGGGUGGUGGUUAUGGCCUUUGAUGUUUAUGGUUUCUGUUUUUGGAUCAUAGGAGGUGGAAACUGAAAAUAGCCCUUGAUUUGAUAGGGAAUUGCCAAAAGAGAAAGUUUUGCUUCUUCGCAUUGCACAGACAUGUUCAAAUUAUGGGAAGAUUGCCAAUAUUACUUUUGUGCGGCAAAAUUGAAUAAAAGCAUACGUAAUUACAGUAGAGAUAAGAAGAGAAGAGGAAAUGUGAGACAAAACUGGAAACUGUAAUGAAGAAAAACAGAGGAAACUAACAAAUAACGUGUUAAGAGUGAUAUAAUUAUAUUGAAGAUUGCUAUGCAUGAGGUGGUCCUUCCUUGACUUCUGCAAAUUAAUUCUUCAAAUUCAUAUAUGAUGAUGCCAGUUUUGUAUGACCAUGUGAUGCAUGACAUAGUAUUCGUUAAGACAUUCAAUCCUGAAAAAUCUGACUAUGGUUUUCUUUGAGAAAAUUCUACCUAAAUAGUGGUCAACCUGUGUGAACAUGUUAUAAGGUUUGGAGAA